rnacentral:rRNA from 1 species
GAGUUCGCGCUGUCCGAAGCUUCGGCAGAGGACUUGCGGACUCUAGCGGCGAACGGUCGCGUAACACGUAAGCAACCUGCCCUGAAGUGGGGGAUAGCCCGCCGAAAGGCGGAGUAAUACCGCAUGUGCUCCGCGCGGCGCAUGCCGUGUGGAGUAAAGCAGCAAUGCGCUUCAGGAUGGGCUUGCGGCCUAUCAGCUAGUUGGUAGGGUAACGGCCUACCAAGGCGACGACGGGUAGCUGGUCUGAGAGGAUGGUCAGCCGGAUUGGGACUGAGACACGGCCCAGACUCCUACGGGGGGCAGCAAUUAGGAAUCUUGCGCAAUGGGCGAAAGCCUGACGCAGCGACGCCGCGUGAGCGAUGAAGUCCUUCGGGAUGUAAAGCUCUGUCCUGCGGGGACGAAGAAAGUGACGGUACCCGCAGAGAAAGCCCCGGCUAACUACGUGCCAGCAGCCGCGGUAAUACGUAGGGGGCGAGCGUUGUCCGAAUUCACUGGGCGUAAAGCGCGUGUAGGCGGCUCUUUAAGUCAGAUGUGAAAUCCUGCAGCUCAACUGCAGAACUGCAUCUGAAACUGGAGGGCUGGAGUCUGGGAGAGGAGAGUGGAAUUCCUGGUGUAGCGGUGGAAUGCGUAGAUAUCAGGAGGAACACCCGUGGCGAAGGCGGCUCUCUGGCCCAGUACUGACGCUGAGACGCGAAAGCUAGGGGAGCGAACGGGAUUAGAUACCCCGGUAGUCCUAGCCGUAAACGAUGGACACUAGGUGUUAGAGGUAUCGACCCCUCUAGUGCCGUAGCUAACGCAUUAAGUGUCCCGCC